CAGCGGUAACGUCCUCAUUUAGAGACAAGCACCGUCUGUGGGGAUCCUCCUGGUACCUGGCCAAAUUAGGCAACUGCAUUAAAAGAAAAUGUUCAGAAUGACGGUCGUUCAGCUUGGAGUGAUUGUCUUCGUCCUCUGUCUGUCAACACCGGUGCUUUCACAGAGCAAUGCAACCACCCCGAUGGUAAACAGCACCUCCAACACCACAAUGAGACCAAACGCCACCAGUUCAGUAAACACCACCAGUGCAGUCAACAACACCACCACCUUUUCAGGAGCAGGCGCUUUGCUGCAUGCAGGUGGCACCUCCUUUCUCGUCCCCGUCAUCAUGGCAUCGUACUACUAUUGAAGUCGGGAUUCCACAGCCCCACUUGUCUCGACACUCCUCACCACCUUCUAUUCCAUCAUGCCACCCGGGCCAGCCUCCCCCAUCUCAGAGACCACAAGGCUAACGCAGCUGGACUCAAAUCUACUUCAUCCUCAACUUGUAACCAUGUAGUCAAAGAUGUUUCUUUCAAUAAAGGGGGUUUAAUGUUUAGCUGGAGCUCAUCAUGCCUCACCCAAACGGUCCCUUUCAUUGAAUCAAAAGGAUUGGUGGUGCAGCUCCUUGCUUGGCUUGCAUUUCCAUAGUCUCGCAUCACAUCUCGGAUGGCUCAGGGCUGUGGUUUGUCAUGUAGCAUGUCUGUUAAAAUAUGGACCACUUGAAUGUACAGAGAUUCAUUCUGUGGUUUUUAGUUCCACCUGGGAAUCAGUUUUUUUUUUCUUUUUUUUUUUUGGCACAUAUAGUAGGAAAUGGGAAAAUGUCACAUGACACCUGUGGAGUUUUUCAUAGCUUGGCUCUUUAGUCAUUUUACUAAUGUCAGAUGUGUAGCAAAUAAACACAGGAUGUGUCACUUUUACCUGGUGAUUUUUACAAUGAGGGUUUGACACUUUCCACCCCUUCAACCCAAGUGAUGACUGUAUGAAUGUCCUUAUGAGAUGUUGGAUUUAUAUUUCCCCCUUAUAGCUUAUAUUUUGUAUAUAAUGGAAAUGUACCGUUUAUUAGCUUGGGCAUAAGAUAUUGGAAGAAAUGACAAUGUACAAUAAACUGAGAAAUAACAGCUA